rnacentral:rRNA from 1 species
UACGAAGGGGGCUAGCGUUGUUCGGAAUUACUGGGCGUAAAGCGCGCGCAGGCGGCUAUCCAAGUCAGUGGUGAAAGCCCGGAGCUCAACUCCGGAACUACCAUUGAAACUGUUUAGCUUGAGGAUGAGAGAGGUGAGUGGAAUUCCCAGUGUAGAGGUGAAAUUCGUAGAUAUUGGGAAGAACACCGGUGGCGAAGGCGGCUCACUGGCUCAUUACUGACGCUCAGGCGCGAUAGCGUGGGGAUCAAACAGG